rnacentral:rRNA from 1 species
CGACUGCUAAUACCGGAUGUGCCGGAAGGUGAAAGAUUUAUCGCCUGAAGAUAAGCUCGCGUCUGAUUAGCUAGUUGGUGGUGUAAGGGACUACCAAGGCGACGAUCAGUAGCUGGUCUGAGAGGAUGAUCAGCCACACUGGGACUGAGACACGGCCCAGACUCCUACGGGAGGCAGCAGUGGGGAAUUUUCCGCAAUGGGCGAAAGCCUGACGGAGCAAUACCGCGUGAGGGAGGAAGGCUCUUGGGUCGUAAACCUCUUUUCUCAAGGAAGAAUGCAAUGACGGUACUUGAGGAAUAAGCAUCGGCUAACUCCGUGCCAGCAGCCGCGGUAAUACGGAGGAUGCAAGCGUUAUCCGGAAUGAUUGGGCGUAAAGGGUCUGUAGGUGGUACUGAAAGUCUGCUGUUAAAGAGCAAGGCUCAACCUUGUAAGAGCAGUGGAAACUACAGAACUGGAGUGCGGUAGGGGCAAAAGGAAUUCCUGGUGUAGCGGUGAAAUGCGUAGAUAUCAGGAAGAACACCGGUGGCGAAAGCGUUUUGCUAGACCGCAACUGACACUGAGGGACGAAAGCUAGGGGAGCGAAUGGGAUUAGAUACCCCAGUAGUC